UGGGGAAUAUUGGACAAUGGGCGAAAGCCUGAUCCAGCCAUGCCGCGUGUGUGAAGAAGGCCUUUUGGUUGUAAGCACUUUAAGCGAGGAGGAGGCUACUUAGAUUAAUACUCUAGGAUAGUGGACGUUACUCGCAGAAUAAGCACCGGCUAACUCUGUGCCAGCAGCCGCGGUAAUACAGAGGGUGCGAGCGUUAAUCGGAUUUACUGGGCGUAAAGCGUGCGUAGGCGGCUUCUUAAGUCGGAUGUGAAAUCCCUGAGCUUAACUUAGGUAUUGCAUUCGAUACUGGGAAGCUAGAGUAUGGGAGAGGAUGGUAGAAUUCCAGGUGUAGCGGUGAAAUGCGUAGAGAUCUGGAGGAAUACAGAUGGCGAAGGCAGCCAUCUGGCCUAAUACUGACGCUGAGGUACGAAAGCAUGGGGAGCAAACAGG
rnacentral:rRNA from 1 species